rnacentral:rRNA from 1 species
UACGUAGGGGGCAAGCGUUGUCCGGAAUCAUUGGGCGUAAAGCGCGUGUAGGCGGCCAGAAAAGUCCGCUGUGAAAACUCGAGGCUCAACUUCGAGCUGUCGGUGGAAACUUUCUGGCUAGAGUCCGGAAGAGGAGAAUGGAAUUCCUGGUGUAGCGGUGAAAUGCGCAGAUAUCAGGAAGAACACCCGUGGCGAAGGCGGUUCUCUGGGACGGUACUGACGCUGGAGACGCGAAAGCGUGGGGAGCAAACAGG